rnacentral:tRNA from 1 species
CAGUAAGUAGUUUAUUUAAAAUAUUAAUUUUGGGGAUUAAUGAAGGGAUAUUAAUUUCCUCUUGCUGA